UCGAGAAUCUUCGGCAAUGGGCGCAAGCCUGACCGAGCGACGCCGCGUGGAGGACGAAGGCCUUCGGGUUGUAAACUCCUGUCGAGGGGGAGGAAGGCCCUUAACCGGGCUUGACCGAUCCCUGGAGGAAGCACGGGCUAAGUUCGUGCCAGCAGCCGCGGUAAGACGAACCGUGCGAACGUUAUUCGGAAUCACUGGGCUUAAAGCGCGUGUAGGCGGGCCGGCACGUCGGUCGCUGAAAUCCCCCGGCUCAACCGGGGAACGGGCGCCGAUACGACCGGCCUGGAGGGGGGUAGGGGGCGCUGGAACUCACGGUGGAGCGGUGAAAUGCGUUGAGAUCGUGAGGAACGCCCGCGGCGAAAGCGAGCGCCUGGACCCUUUCUGACGCUGAGACGCGAAAGCCAGGGGAGCGAACGG
rnacentral:rRNA from 1 species